GCAGCAGGCGCGCAAAUUACCCAAUCCUGACACAGGGAGGUAGUGACAAGAAAUAACAAUACAGGGCGAAUGUCUUGUAAUUGGAAUGAUGGUGACCCAAACCCUCACCAGAGUAGCAAUUGGAGGGCAAGUCUGGUGCCAGCAGCCGCGGUAAUUCCAGCUCCAAUAGCGUAUAUUAAACUUGUUGCAGUUAAAAAGCUCGUAGUUGUAUUUUUGCGUUGACGGUUUGACCAUUUGGUUGGUUAUUUCGUUUUCGCUUUUGGGAAUUUCCCUUUUUACUUUGAGAAAAUUAGAGUGUUUCAAGCAGACUUUUGUCUUGAAUACUUCAGCAUGGAAUAAUAGAGUAGGACUUUGGUUCUAUUUUGUUGGUUAUUGAACCUUAGUAAUGGUUAAUAGGAACGGUUGGGGGCAUUCGUAUUUAAAA
rnacentral:rRNA from 1 species